AGUCGACGGAGAGUUUUGUAGUAAUACGAAGCUUCUCAGUGGCGAACGGGCGAGUAACGAGUUGGUGACCUGCCCCGAAGUGUGGGAUAACAGUCCGAAAGGAUUGCUAAUACCGCAUGUGAUCAUCGGAUUUAGAAACUGAUGAUUAAAGCAGUAAUGCGCUUCGGGAGGGACCUGCUUUCCAUCAGCUAGUUGGUGAGGUAACGGCCCACCAAGGCUACGACGGAUAAGGGACCUGAGAGGGUGGUCCCUCGCAAUGGCACUGAAACACGGGCCAUACACCUACGGGUGGCAGCAGUAGGGAAUAUUGGGCAAUGGGCGAAAGCCUGACCCAGCAACGCCGCGUGCACGAUGAAGGCCUUCGGGUCGUAAAGUGCUUUUAGAGAGGAUGAGGAAGGACAGUACUCUCUGAAUAAGCCUCGGCUAACUACGUGCCAGCAGCCGCGGUAAAACGUAGGAGGCGAGCGUUAUCCGGAUUUACUGGGCGUAAAGCGCGUGUAGGCGGUUUGAUAAGUUGGAUGUGAAAGCUCCUGGCUUAACUGGGAGAGGUCGUUCAAAACUGUCAGACUUGAGAGUGGUAGAGGGAGGUGGAAUUCCGGGUGUAGUGGUGAAAUGCGUAGAUAUCCGGAGGAACACCAGUGGCGAAAGCGG
rnacentral:rRNA from 1 species